GGGUGGGCCUGAGAACGGCUACUACUCUACCGAAGGCAGCAGGCGCGUAAUUACCAAUCCUGAUAGGGAGGUGGUGACAAGAUAUAACGACUCGAUUAUGUCGUGAUUGUAGUGAGGACUCUUCUUACAGAAUCACAAGAACGAUUAGAGGGCAAGUCUGGUGCCAGCAGCCGCGGUAAUUCCAGCUCUAAUAGCGCAUAUUAAAGUUGCUGCAGUUAAAAGCUCGUAGUUGGAUUUCAAGGAUUACUCACUCCUAUGGAAUGUGUACCCUCUCACUCUCUCUUCUUCUGUUACUGUGAGAAAUUAGAGUGUUUAAAGCAGGCUAUUGCAGAUACAUUAGCAUGGAAUACGAAUGUAUCUAGAAUCUCGUUUAAUUCUAGGUUCGAUAAAGAGAAGGGGGGAAGUAGAUGCUGCUGACAAAGGGAAUCUGGAUUGUAAGAUAUUAACGUCUUAUUUUUUUCCAGGAUGUUUCGUGGUGGGGACGGACACCCGCCCCCCCCCCUCCUAUACUGUCGUAUCCUAUCUUAACCAUGCCGACAGGAUUGGAUGGGCUAAACCCUUUCAGCCUUAGAAAACCAAGGCUGUGGGUCUGGGGGAAAUGUCCAAACUCAACUCCACCAACUGCCGAAGGCCUUCAGAGGAGCUGCGUUAUUG
rnacentral:rRNA from 1 species